rnacentral:lncRNA from 1 species
UUUUUUUCUUUUUUUUUUAAUACAAAUAAAUAAAUAAACAAUAUGAAAAGACUUUACAAGGACCCUAAAGCCAAGUCAACACCCUAAAUAUUUCUACACCUUUGUCACUGCCAACCACAUUAAGUAGUUCAGCUCAUGGUGAGGUCAUCGUGAAAGAGGAAAUGAAGAAAUACAAUAUUUGGCCCACAAAUUUUGUGUUUUGGGGACACUUCACAGUGAAGAUGAAACAGAACAGGUGGAACGUGAGGCUACCAACCAUCUAUCAGAGUAGGGCUGCUCCAGCUGGGGCUUCGGGAGCUUUGUCUCUCUCUCUCUAAUGACUUGGUUGAGGACGUCUAAGUUAGAAAGGUUUGAAUACGGCUGUGCAGCAUUGUCAAAAAGCUCCCAAAGUGUCACACCCAGGGACCUGUUGGAAAAAGAAAACGGUUGUUUCUCUCUCCUUUUAGAUGUUAAAUUCUUAACACUCACAUUUGUUAUAUAGCCAGUAAUUUUAAGGACAAGGUGUGUAUUGAAAAGAUUAGUAAUACAAUCGUUCUUUUGUUUGUUUUGUUUUGUUUUUUUGAGACAGAGUCUCACUCUGUCACCCAGGCUGGAGUGCAAUGGUGCGGUCUCCACUCACUGCAACCCCUGACUCCCGGGUUCAAGCGAUUCUCCUGCCUCAGUCUCCCAAGUAACUGGGAUUACAUCAUGCCCUGCUAAUUUUUGUAAUUUUAGUAGAGACAGGGUUUCACCAUGUUGGCCAGGCUGCUCUCAAACUCCUGACCUCAGGUGAUCCACCCUCCUUGGCCUCCCAAAGUGCUGAGAUUACAGGCGUGAGCCACCACAACCAGCCAAGAUCGUUCUUUAAUCUCAAACCAAUAAUCAGCACAAUAGCAAAAAAAAAGUAUUUCUGUUAAAAUGAGGAAGCCCAUGCCUCCUAUUUGCUACUGAAUACUACCCUAGACAUUUUGGCCAACGAAAAAUGUACAAAACAGAGAUAAUAGGUGUAAUUAUGUGGAUGAGAUGACUAUCAACUUUUAAGUACUCAACAAAUUAUUGGAAAGACCAUCAGCAUGUUCUAAAAAUUUGGCAGAAUGGCUGGAAACAAGAUAAAUACCCUGAAUUCUGAUUUUUUUUUUGGUAGAAAAAUACACCUAUUAACAACAGUAGUAAACACCAGAAAGCAUCUAAAAGGAAUCUUUACACGGGCAAGACAAUGUCUGAGACCCACAAGUUUGGUUUGAGUUACUCCUCAGUAUCGUGGGUUUUGCUGCCAUUCUGAAGGGAUCCCCCAACACGCUGGCAGCUGUCUGUGUGCCAGGAGAGGCCCUGAGGGCUGACUCACCACAGCCCUUCUCAGUCCCAGCCCAACCCUCUCUCACACCCCGGUGCUCUGUCCCCAUGGAAACAGCCUCUGCUGGCUUCCUGGGUCAGAUGAGCUGCCUCUCGUUUCCUCCACGAAGUCUCUGCAUCUCCUCCCCACCACGCACUGCCUCUGUCCUGCACUUGUGUCUCCUAUUUACUGCCAUGUUCCCGAACCUGACUCUCAUCUGUGUCCUCUGGGAAGCCAUGAACACACACACUGGUAAGUCAGGUCCACCCCUAAGGAUGCUGAGUGGGUAGAUCCAGGAGUGGUCUAGAAAACUCUCUUUUUAAAAAGCUCCCCAGUGAUUGUGAUGUCCAGCCAACCCUGCAUGACACACCCCAAACAACGAGGAAACAACUACAUUUUGACAAAAAUCACUAAAGGAGAGCACCAGAGCACGUCCAAGGAGUAACAGGGACUCAGGAAACUCAGGACGGCCACAGCGAGAGCGGAAGGAAACGCCUGGCCUCCGCCACCCCAU